rnacentral:rRNA from 1 species
AUGGAAGUACCCGGAGAAGUUGGUGCUCCGUGUAGCAAAUUUGUGCCCCUCCACUCAUCGGACCGCCGAGGCAUGGAACUACCUGGAGAAGAUGGUGCUCCGCGUAGCAAAUUCGGCUGUGUUUUGAGAGGCUGCCAGGCAAGACGCUUUGCCAGAUGUUCAUCAUCAAUGUCGGUCAGGGGUUCAGGCACCUUUGGAACGCAUGGCAUCAGCCAUAUGGACCUGCAUGGAUGUGAUAGUUUACUCAAUCAUUUUUAUGCCUUCAACUACAGCUACCACACAACUUCAUUGAGAUUUGUUUUCUAUAGGACCUGGAUUAAUAAUCUCCAACAAUAUGGUAAUGCUUGA